rnacentral:lncRNA from 1 species
AUGACGACAUGAAUCAUAGUUAAUUCGUCGUAAAAGGGCCUUUACGAAUAAAUAACCUUGAAAGUCAUUUUGUCGUUAAUUAUCGGUCGUAAACCAUUUUUCCUCGCUAAAUCGUCGUAAAUUUAUGUGGAAUAGAUUUCGUUAAAAUGGUUGGUAAUAAAUUUGUCUUAAUAUACAUGCCAUUUAACGACGUCUAUUUCCUCAUAAUACAAACAGAAGAAAUCGUCGUAAAGGACACAUAAACUUUACGACAAAAUUACGUCUACUUCCACGUAAAUCUUUUAAUUUACGUCGAUAUAACGAGUCUUUCCUCAUUAAAUAGUCAUUAAGCUUAGCUACACAAAUGUACUUCGAUUCUUAUUUUUUCAAUUUUAAAAAUUGAAAUCAUUAUAUUUUACUAAAAUUAUAAAAAACUAUAAAAAAUUAAAUUAUAGAAAAAUCUAAAAAUAUUUAAGUUUCAAAUUUAUAAUACAAUAGAAAAAAGAAAAAAAAAUAGCUAGGGUUCGGGAAUUCCGGGAAAAAGUCCUGACUCCUUCUCUCGGGUUCCUCCUCCUCUGAGGAGCGCUGUGGCUGUGGAUUUCCAAGUCCCGCCCGUCUCGCCUGCAACAUUCUGUCCAAUUACGGAUUUCCAUCCGCUAGAACGUCUAGAAAACUUUCGUAUGAACCCAACUGAGCUUGUGUCGCGCUCAAAUCAGAACUCGUCGCGCUCAACUCAAAACGCAGCUGAGCAGUCUCAUCAUCCUGUAUAUGACCAUAAGACGAUCGCCCUCGGGACAUCGUUAACGGAACCGAUUCCCAACAUACGUCCAUUUUUCUUAGGGACAACCCUAAAAAAAAAAGAUUGAUUUUAGUGAUAAAAUGUUAGAUUAAUUGAAGUCGUUAUAAAAAAAAAUUGUACCACCUCGUAAAUCUUAUCCACUUCAGGUGUGGAUAAAGUGACGGGUAUUCCAUCGGGGGACUGUUGGGUCUGGCACACUUCAAUACGAGCAACCACGUCGUUGUAGA